CCGCCGCCCGGUUAGCUUUUUCCUCUGUCAUGGACCCAACCCGAAACACUCACGUGAAGCUUCUCGCCGCCGAUUUCAACUCCCUCGCCGUGUCCUCCUCCGCUCCUCCAACCAUCUCCCGUCACGGCCGCCCCAUAUUCCGUGCAGAAUCUCUCGGCAUCGUCACAUCUCGCAAUCUCCGGCCGAAGCUACUUCGCUUCCUCAUCGAUGACGGUUCCGGCUGUGUGCCCUGCGUCCUAUGGCUUAACCACCACCUCCUUCCUCACUCUUCCGAUGCCAGCGAACAUGCCGCAAAGGUGCAGAUCGGGGGGCUAGUUAGGGUUCGAGGCCGCGUGACGGUCUUUCGCGGCGAGGUACAGAUAACGGUGAAGGACGUUGUCGUGGAGAGGGAUCCCAACACGGAGAUCUUACACUGGCUGCAGUGUAUUAAGCUCGCACGCGAUUUCUAUGAUCUUCCGCUGGCAGUGCCACAUCGCGCGUGAGCAAUGUGUAAACUUGGUGAUUUGAGCAGGCAAUGAAGUCCUAUUCUUAGCCAGACAACUUCAACUAUCUUAGAAGUGAAGCAGAGAACCAAAGAUGGAGCAAUCAGCGUCGUGUGGUCUGCGAUCAAGCAACAAGCAAUCAGUGGACUUUUUCAAGCAGCUCGAGGGCAGAAGACAACAAUUGGUUCUUUCAUGAGUUGAAGGCUUGAGGCUGGAAGAUAAGAGGGGAAGGCUAUCUCGGGUUAGCACACAUGAAAGUGAAUAGUGGGACACACGCGUGGCUUUGCCGACAAGGAGAGUUUCGUGCGUUCCGGAGCAAAGAAAAUUGGGUUAGGGAGGCCGGGGUGGUGGACUCCUAUGCGUUGAACUGGGUUCGAGGGUAUUAAUAAGGUGGCUAACCAUUGGAAGACAAAACUUAAGGGUGUUUGAAGGUUUAAGAUAAGCCAGCUGAGUGAGGAUGUUAAGAUAUCCAUGCACGUAAGUGGAAUCAGAUAGUGUUGUGAUACAUACAAACACACACACAUAAUAUAUGGAAAACACUAAUUAAUUCUGUUAUCCAGAACAACGCACAUUUAGUUUGAAAAAGAACCAUCCAACUCUUAUAGAUUUUGUAUGUUAUUGAUUUACAUUGUUGUGAAAAUCAGUUGUAUGAUGUAUGUAAUGGUUUAAACAUGU